UGACUUCUAAAUGAAUAUUUUAUAGCACAAUGAACGUUUAAAAACUACAAAGACAUUUGACAUUUUUCAGAAUUUCAUAACUAAUAAUGAAAAAUUUUCCGGAACUAAUUUUGUUGAUCUAUAAAUACCGAAGAUCGGUAUCUCAUUACUAAAAGCAGAUCGCUAGAAUUAAUCAAUAUGAAAAUUGCAGGGUUACUUAUUAUUUGUUACAUUGUACUAACGGAUGCCCAAUGUCCUCCACCGGCACGAAAGUGCCAUGGUUAAAAAGCAAAUCCGCAAUGGGUCUUGCCGAUAACAUAUAAUAAUUCUAUUGUUUGACUGGGUAUGACUAUUUAAUAAAUAUUACAUUUGCUUCAAAA